rnacentral:tRNA from 1 species
GGGCCGGUAGCUUAGCCUGGUAGAGCACCUGACUUUUAAUCAGGGGGUCGCGAGUUCAAAUCCCGUCCGGCCCA